GAAGCUUAUCAUCUCAAAAGAAGCCAACGCGUGAUUCUUGGUGGUGCUCGCUCAUCUGACGUUUCUGUAUUAUCAGGUGUGCCACAGGGGUCCGUCUUGGGG
rnacentral:lncRNA from 1 species